UAGGGAAUAUUGGACAAUGGGGGCAACCCUGAUCCAGCCAUGCCGCGUGAGUGAAGAAGGCCCUCGGGUUGUAAAGCUCUUUUGUCCGGCAAGAAAAGCAUUCGGUGAAUACCCGGAUGUUCUGACGGUACCGGAAGAAUAAGCACCGGCUAACUUCGUGCCAGCAGCCGCGGUAAUACGAAGGGUGCAAGCGUUACUCGGAAUUACUGGGCGUAAAGCGUGCGUAGGUGGUUGUUUAAGUCUGAUGUGAAAGCCCUGGGCUCAACCUGGGAAUGGCAUUGGAAACUGGGCAGCUAGAGUGCGGUAGAGGGUAGUGGAAUUCCCGGUGUAGCAGUGAAAUGCGUAGAGAUCGGGAGGAACAUCUGUGGCGAAGGCGACUGCCUGGACCAGCACUGACACUGAGGCACGAAAGCGUGGGGAGCAAACA
rnacentral:rRNA from 1 species